CAGCAGCCGCGGGAAUACGGAGGGGGCUAGCGUUGUUCGGAAUUACCGGGCGUAAAGCGCACGUAGGCGGCUUGGUAAGUUAGAGGUGAAAGCCUGGAGCUCAACUCCAGAAUUGCCUUUAAGACUGCCGAGCUAGCAGGUGAGAGAGGUAAGUGGAAUUCCGAGUGUAGAGGUGAAAUUCGUAGAUAUUCGGAAGAACACCAGUGGCGAAGGCGGCUUACUGGCUCAUACUGGACGCUGAGGUGCGAAAGCGUGGGGAGCAAACAGGAUUAGAUACCCCCGUAGUCCCUGUCUCUUAUAC
rnacentral:rRNA from 1 species